UACAGAGGUCUCAAGCGUUGUUCGGAUUCAUUGGGCGUAAAGGGUGCGUAGGCGGCGCGGUAAGUCGGAUGUGAAAUCUCCACGCUCAACGUGGAGGGGCCAUUCGAUACUGCCGUGACUCGAGUCCGGUAGGGGAGUGUGGAAUUCCCGGUGUAGCGGUGAAAUGCGCAGAGAUCGGGAGGAACACCCGUAGCGAAGGCGGCACUCUGGGCCGGUACUGACGCUGAGGAGCGAAAGCGUGGGGAGCGAACAGG
rnacentral:rRNA from 1 species